CUCCUCCUGUGACGCAUCAGUCUCAGCCAUAUGGUUCACCUGCAUAUCCCACUGGAAGUCUAAAUGACAGAAUGGCAUCUGAUGUUGAAACGCUGAGGUUGCAUUUCUUCUCUAGUACUCCAUAUUCAACUCCUUGAGCUUUUCUUGCCUGAGCUAUCUGUUCUAUUGCUCCAUUUAAUGGUUAUAACUUGUUAUCUCUUUUCUGCUCCAGUUCAGGGGAUCUGGAUAAUAUUAGAGAUGCAACAGAAUUACUGAGUGAUAUGGUGAAUGCUUUGAAUCCUGCUGAUCGCAUGGUAAACCGAAUAUUUAAAAGAAAAUUGCAUGGCUAGUUUGGUGAAUUGCAUGAAAUAACCUAUUCAAUUAUUGGUGAUGCCAGGCUGUUAAAGAUGAAAUUGUUACUGAGCUUGUCAGCCAAAGUCGUUCAAAUCAACAAAAGCUCAUGGGAUUUGUCAGUUCAACAGGGUAAGCUCAUGUCUCCCACAGACGUACAAAGAAUAUUUCCCCUAUCUUAGUGUACCGUGGUGUUCGCCUCAAGUGAAUUUGAAGUUUCGCAUAAGAACUAGCAUGCACAUGCAUUAGCGUGGCACACAUUUUCUUUUCCAGUUCUGUGCCGUCUAAAUGACAGUGCAGUUCAGGCCACACUGCCACAGAAUGUAAUGUGUGACUUCUUAUGGUUCCUGUUGUUUAGGAAUGAGGAGCUACUGAAACAAGGCCUAGAAAUAAAUGACCGCUUACAAAGUGUACUUGCAAAACACGAUGCCAUCGCUUCUGGUUCUCCUUUACCUGUUGAAAUGCCAAGGAGAGAUGAGAUACCCAGAGAGGAUCCAACACCACAGCCAUCUGCACCUCCGGUUGCACAAAAUGAGACCCCCGUUGAAGAGGAUGAAGAGGAUGAGUUUGCUCAGCUAGCAAAAAGGUAACUGAAAAUAGCUUUUGAUGUGCAAUCUGCUUAUUCCUGAACCACAACUAAUUAUUUGUGAUAUGUUCUGUAUCUGUAGAAAGAACAAAUCUGUGGUAAGCAGCGAUGAGGCAUCAUCAAGUGUUGGUGAUCAUGCCCUUAUACCUAUUGACGAUGCAACUUCUGAAGCAUCAUCUUCUGUUGCGAGCAAUGCCCUAGUUCCUGUUGAGUCAGCUUCUGUCAGUGGUACUCGGACAAAAGAGCAGGAUAUGAUCGACCUUCUAAGCCUUACCUUGUACAGUCCUCCUGAAGCAUCUACAGAUUCUUCAACUCAGAGCCAAAAUGACAGUCAGCAGACCGCCGUGUCAAAUGGGUCACAAUUACCGCCGAACUAUGAGCCUGCAACAUCGAAUGGACAACAUUACCCUUCCAACCACCAGGCAUAUCCAAUAAAUCAGGGGUACACUCCAUACAACAAUUAUGUUGCGCCCUGGGCCCAAAGUGAACAGAGUGCACAGACUGGAGCAUAUCCAGUUCAGCCUCCACAAUAUACAUCAACCUAUCCGGCACAGCCACAAUAUACAUCAACCUAUCCGGCACCGCCAUGGGCCAUGCCUACAAGUGCCAACUCUGUAAAUCCUUUUCAGCCUGCCACAUACCAAACGCCGAAUC
rnacentral:lncRNA from 1 species